rnacentral:rRNA from 1 species
UACGUAGGGUGCGAGCGUUGUCCGGAAUUACUGGGCGUAAAGAGCUCGUAGGUGGUUUGUCGCGUUGUUCGUGAAAACCGGGGGCUUAACCCUCGGCGUGCGGGCGAUACGGGCAGACUUGAGUACUGCAGGGGAGACUGGAAUUCCUGGUGUAGCGGUGGAAUGCGCAGAUAUCAGGAGGAACACCGAUGGCGAAGGCAGAUCUCUGGGCCGUAACUGACGCUGAGGAGCGAAAGCAUGGGGAGCGAACAGG